UUUUGCGCAAUGGGCGAAAGCCUGACGCAGCAACGCCGCGUGAGUGAUGAAGGCCUUCGGGUCGUAAAGCUCUGUCAAGUGGGAAGAACCUAUGUAGUGCUAAUAUCACUAUGUACUGACGGUACCACUGAAGGAAGCACCGGCUAACUCCGUGCCAGCAGCCGCGGUAAUACGGRGGGUGCAAGCGUUAUUCGGAAUCAUUGGGCGUAAAGAGCACGUAGGCGGCCUGGUAAGUCAGAUGUGAAAGCCCGGGGCUUAACCCCGGAAGUGCAUUUGAUACUGUCAGGCUUGAGUAUGGGAGAGGGAAGUGGAAUUCCYGGUGUAGAGGUGAAAUUCGUAGAUAUCAGGAGGAACACCGGUGGCGAAGGCGACUUCCUGGACCAAUACUGACGCUGAGGUGCGAARGCGUGGGUAGCAAACAGGAUUAGAUACCCUGGUAGUCCACGCAGUAAACGUUGAUCACUAGGUGUARCGGGUAUUGACCCCUGCUGUGCCGCAGUUAACGCAUUAAGUGAUCCGCCUGGGGAGUACGGUCGC
rnacentral:rRNA from 1 species